GCUGGCGGCGUGCCUAAUACAUGCAAGUCGAGCGAACGGAUAAGGAGCUUGCUCCUUUGAAGUUAGCGGCGGACGGGUGAGUAACACGUGGGUAACCUACCUAUAAGACUGGGAUAACUUCGGGAAACCGGAGCUAAUACCGGAUAACAUUUAGAACCGCAUGGUUCUAAAGUGAAAGAUGGUUUUGCUAUCACUUAUAGAUGGACCCGCGCCGUAUUAGCUAGUUGGUAAGGUAACGGCUUACCAAGGCGACGAUACGUAGCCGACCUGAGAGGGUGAUCGGCCACACUGGAACUGAGACACGGUCCAGACUCCUACGGGAGGCAGCAGUAGGGAAUCUUCCGCAAUGGGCGAAAGCCUGACGGAGCAACGCCGCGUGAGUGAUGAAGGGUUUCGGCUCGUAAAACUCUGUUAUUAGGGAAGAACAAAUGUGUAAGUAACUGUGCACAUCUUGACGGUACCUAAUCAGAAAGCCACGGCUAACUACGUGCCAGCA
rnacentral:rRNA from 1 species